rnacentral:rRNA from 1 species
GAGGAUGGGACGCAGGCAAAUCCGCGUCCUGUGAGUCUGAGGCGUGAUGUGGAGGUUCCGGAAACGGAACUGAAGCUGCUGACCCCACACUGUCGAGAAAAGCUUCUAGUUAGAGAAUUACCGCCCGUACCGUAAACCGACACAGGUAUGCGGGGAGAGAAUCCUAAGGUGCGCGGGAGAACCCUCGUUAAGGAACUCGGCAAAAUGUACCCGUAACUUCGGGAUAAGGGUAGCCGCUGUUGUGAAGUCUGAACAGACGGAGCAUGAGGCGGUCGCAGAGAAGAGGCCCAAGCGACUGUUUACCACAAACACAGGUGCCUGCUAAAGAGAAAUCUGACGUAUAGGUGCUGACACCUGCCCAGUGCCGGAAGGUUAAGGAAGGAUGUCCGGAGCAAUCCAAAGCAUUCGACCGAAGCCCCGGUGAACGGCGGCCGUAACAAUAACGGUCCUAAGGUAGCGAAAUUCCUUGUCGGGUAAGUUCCGACCCGCACGAAAGGUGUAACGAUUUGGGCACUGUCUCAACGAGGGACCCGGUGAAAUUGAAGUACCUGCGAAGAUGCAGGUUACCCGCGACUGGACAGAAAGACCCCAUGGAGCUUUACUGUAACCUGACAUUGGGUUCUGAUACAUCACGUACAGGAUAGGUGGGAGGCAUGGAAGCGAGGACGCUAGUCUUCGUGGAGCCGCCGUUGGGAUACCACCCUUGAUGUAUCGGAAUUCUAACCGUAGGAGUAACGAAACUCGGGACAGUGUCAGGCGGGCAGUUUGACUGGGGCGGUCGCCUCCCAAAGAGUAACGGAGGCGCCCAAAGGUUCCCUCAGCGCGGCCGGAAAUCGCGUGAAGAGUGUAAAGGCAGAAGGGAGCUUGACUGAGAGCCAAACACGGCAAUCAGGUACGAAAGUAGGGCUUAGUGAUCCGGUGGCAUCCAAGUGGAAGGGCCAUCGCUCAACGGAUAAAAGCUACCCUGGGGAUAACAGGCUAAUCUCUCCCAAGAGUCCAUAUCGACGGGGAGGUUUUGGCACCUCGAUGUCGGCUCAUCACAUCCUGGGGCUGAAGUCGGUCCCAAGGGUUGGGCUGUUCGCCCAUUAAAGUGGUACGUGAGCUGGGUUCAGAACGUCGUGAGACAGUUCGGUCCCUAUCCAUCGCGGGCGCAAGAGAUUUGAAGGGGGCUGCUCCUAGUACGAGAGGACCGGAGUGGACGAACCAAUGGUGUACCAAUUAUCUCGCCAGAGGUAUAGUUGGGUAGCUACGUUCGGAAAGGAUAAACGCUGAAAGCAUCUAAGCGUGAAACCAGCCUUAAGAUGAGAUCUCUCAUAGAGCAAUCUAGUAAGACACCUUGGAGAAGACGAGGUUGAUAGGUCGGGAGUGUAAGUACAGUAAUGUAUUCAGCGGACCGAUACUAAUAUGUCGAGGGCUUGACU